rnacentral:lncRNA from 1 species
AGGUGUCUAAACCUUGAUGGACAGAGUUACGUGAUACCUGCUACUUCGCACGUAUCGAGUACCCCGUGGAUUUUCUCGAGGUGUGCCCAAGUUAGCCUGUACACCGUUGUUGUAAAAAGAAAUCUCACUUUAGGUUGGUUUACUGAGCCAGUCGAACCCUUGAGAUUAGUUUGGUUUCAGUCCUUUGUAAUUUGAUCAAAGCACCCUUAUUGGGAAGGGGGAAGAUUAAUGUGGGUUCUUGACUUUCCAGGCCGUUUCUUUAGGAUUAGUGAUUUGUGUCAAUGAUCUUUACUCUGCAUAAUAAUAUCCACUUUAGCAUAUGUGUCAAUGAUCCAUUUUAGCAUAGGCGUUAUAUUAGCGCAAAUCAGGCUAGUGCUGGAUUUUAAAAAGGCUAUUGGAGAAUUUGAACAGGAUAAAGGUUCCCACAAGGGGUUUCCGUGAUAGAGCUUCAGUCAGCUGAACCCACAUUGUAGUGAGAUUCAAACAGGGGUUCCACGUCUUGCCAGUAGCUUACCAGCUAAGCUAUUGGUUUCAUUUUUUGUUUAGAGCGAUCUUGUUUAAGAUUUCUUUUAAGGCCCCUCACUUAAUUCUCUUUCUAUUUUUUUGUUUGUCUACAUAGUGGUUCACUGUGCAUACUUGUCCAUCUAUUUUUCUUGCCAUGUAGUGCUGGUUUUAAGGAAAGGAUCACAAGUCUAACAUGGUCUCUGUGGAGCUAUGUUAGGUUUUUUACCUCAAAAAGCAAGCUAGACCACCAAAUGGCAUGUAUAUAGCAGAAGUAAUUUGUGCUAUGUCUUCUUCUUUUUCCUUUGUAAUCUAUACGAAUUUCUUUAUUGGUUGAAGAGUUUGUAACCUCAAUAUUGACUAUUCACCAAGACGUUUGCAUGUGCUUUUAUCCCCGGUUAUCUAUCACAUGUGUCAUCUUGCUUGGCCGAGAGAUUUAGUUCAGAUAUGAACCUCCUGGUUUCUUUGUAAUGACAAGGACGAUGUUUAAUUUUGUGCUUCCUUGUAGUAGUUGUAUAGCUAUGACAUUUUCCGUACAAAAAUUAUCGUCAGAAACUUAAGUGGUGAAAAAAGGUGAGAUAAAUGUAUGCCCCCUCAUAAAAUUGCAGGCCGGUUAUCGAGUUUCAAACCGUGUGCCACUGGACCAUGGGGAUUUUUCGGUUAUUAAAUUAAUUGUGUGCGCUAGUCAUUCACUUGCAGAAAUAUGCAUGCUCCAGCCAUAAGCUUGCAGAAACAUCAAAGGUAGUUCAGGAUUUUACGAUUUUGUCUGAAAGAGUGCUUAAAAGCACUGAACGGAGAAAAACAGUAAAAAGUAAAUGCAUGGUUUGCAGUCUCAUUGAAGAUAUAUCUUGGUGGGAGAGUUAGCCCAUUAGUUGCGCCCCUCAUGUUGUAAAUCUAUUGUUGGCUCUUUCAAGUACAAAAGGUGUCUAAUCAAGAUUUAGACAUCUAUUUAAUUGCCACUGAGAACUGAAUUGAGAUCUAAAGUCUCACCAUGCACUAUCUACAUUUCAAGAGCACAGUUUUUAUGAUAGUGGCUUCUGACAGCAAACAGAAUCUUCAGCAGGUUGGUCUUACAGGCACACUUAUAAUCUGGGGUAUUCUGUUUUAAUCUUAAUAAAAAUUUAUCUGCUUACGUGGAUAAUCAAGUAAAUGCACGGGUGCCGCGAAGGUAAAUAUAAGCAGAGAAAAUAUCCGUACGUUCCUAUUUAUUUUUGUACUGCGGGAACUCUCACUUUCUUUUUAUAGUAAAAAUCUCUCUUACGUUACAAGUAUGCUGCGUAAAGCAGUUCAGAGUAAUUGGUAAGCUAUCAAACAUUAUUUACGAGGAGGGCUAUUGAGUUAUUCCCUGUACUACCAAGUCUGAGAACAAGGGAGGUCUAUCUAGGAGAGUGUAAUGGACAAUGUGGUAACUGUACUUGGGAAGUCGUGAAAAACAUAAUUCAGGGUGUGAUAUUACAGAAGAAAGUUUUGAAGGAACUAUUUCCUUGUAAUAAAAAACACAUGGAUAUCCUGAGGAAACAGCAGAAAAACAUCUUGAUUGUCCUCUUUGUCAAGGACUUGCUUAAUCAGUCCAAAGUUCACCUUCUUUUGUUGAAUUUAUGUGCGAUAAGGGACGGCUUUUCUCUCUGUUUUUCAGCUUCUUUUCCUCUAUAACACCUUUUAUAGUAAGACCUUAUUUAGGUACCAUCAUUUUGUUUGUAACCUUUAUGUUGAUAAAAGGCAUAUUAUAAUAAACAUUUUAAAGCAUGAGACUAUUGGAGAUUUUAGUGUCUGCAAAUUUUUUCCAGAAUGCGAUGAUUGAAUUUGCCAGAGUUGUGAAGGCGCAAGAGCAAGUUGUUGCUGGUACACUGCACCAUCUGACUCUUGAGGUCAUAGAUGCUGGAAAAAAGAAACUCUAUGAGGCUAAGGUCUGGGUCAAACCAUGGUUGAAUUUCAAGGAACUUCAAGAGUUCACUCAUGUUGAAGAUGUUCCUACCUUAACUUCUUCAGAUCUAGGUGUUAAACUGUUUUUCAGCUUCUUUUCCUCUAUAACACCUUUUAUAGUAAGACCUUAUUUAGGUACCAUCAUUUUGUUUGUAACCUUUAUGUUGAUAAAAGGCAUAUUAUAAUAAACAUUUUAAAGCAUGAGACUAUUGGAGAUU